rnacentral:tRNA from 1 species
GCCCCGGUAUCCCAAUGGCAGAGGAAAUGUGCUCAAACCACAUCCAGUGUGAGUUCGAAUCUCACCCGGGGCA